rnacentral:lncRNA from 1 species
GUGUGUUGAGGGUGGGAACGAAGCCAGAGACCAGAAGUACAAUUACUUCUGACACUCCUCACAGGUUUGGUUAAGGACCACCUAACGUGGUUAACCGCCCUGGCUAACGGGGACACUGCUGACAAUACACGUGGCUGUUAGUUCCUGAUUUCUGCUUAAGUACACUCAGAAGAGGAUCAGCUGCUGAUCACAAGUCUGACUCAGCCAUAUCUCAUCGCUACAGCCCUUGGUCACAAGAUGUCUGACUCUAUGUCACCAGCCUAACAGAAGAUCAAAUUGUGCUGCCAAAGCACAGAACACACCCAGCGUCUUGGAUUUCAUCUGUCUUGCAUUUCCUUAAAUAUCAGUUACAGGAAAAGCAGCAACUGAAAUAGAGUUCUCAAAUGUUCUGGAUGGUAAAUAAAACAAGGCAUAUGCUAUAAUACCCUCUGAGAGAAAUGCUCUUGCCCUGGUGUGUGUGGAAGGUCCUACAAGUAUGUAGAAUAUGCUGUUCACCUGGCUUCCAUUUACUAAGAGUUAGUUGGCUGGCCUAUGUUUUGAAGGGAGUGACAUUCUCUUGGCCAGGACUUUCUGGCUCAUUCCUCUCAUAAUCAGGGAAAAGGGUCUGUUUAUCAAGAAUGAGAAAAGUCUUUCUGGAUAGUUGUCACUCUGUGCCUAGGAGAUGACUGUUGAGCUUCUAUGACCACCUCCUCCUGUCAACUCAGUCUUUGAAGCAAUACAGAGACUAUCCUGUGAAGAAAGGACAGUAACUCACAGCAUCAAUACUAAGGGAUACCACUACCCUUGGAUUUGGCUUCCAUCUGAUGGAAAAAGCGCUUCAGCCUAUAGCUAAUAACUGGGAUCAUUUAAAUAGCAAAGCAUGUAACACUAAAAUAUAUUAAGACACUUAAUACAAGACAAAUUAUGACUAUCACAGGAAGGAGCAUCCUGGGACAAGUCCACCAAGCAGACUGUGUCCCUCCAAAUAUAAGCAUGCGUGUUGUGCUGCCACAGUGACUAUGCCUACCAGACUAAAAGUGAGCAGUGAUGUAGAUGACGCUGUAGCUACUGGCAAAGUCUCUUUGUUUUCCCCACCAUGUACACAAGGCAUGUACUGUAGGCUUUGAAGAUUUUCCUGUCUGCCUUCCUUCUCUCCACAGGAGUACUGAGAUUUCACAUGUAUGGUACAGAGGUUGGCUUUACUUAAGUUUGGGGGAUUUGAGUUCAGAUCUUCAUAUUCACAGGAUAAGCACUCUACCCACUAAGUCAUCUCCCUAUCCCUUUGUUCUAGUUCCAUUAAAUACUAGGAAUUUUCCAAAUUCCUCCCUGAUUUCAUCAACAGCCCAUUGUUCAAAACAGUGUUGUAUUGUUUUGUCUCAAAGUGUGUGUGUGUGUGUGUGUGUGUGUGUGUGUGUGUGUGUGUGUGUUUCUGAGGUCAGACUUGCCGUUGACCUCUAGUUUCAUCCCACUGUAGCCUGAAAAUACUUGAGGACUUAUUUUGAUGUUUUUCAAUUUAUUAAAGUUUGCUUCAUGACCAAUGGCAUGAUCAAUUUUAAUGGAAGGUCUAUGGGUCAUUGUGAAAACUAUUUAUUUUCUUUCUGUUGUGUGGAACAUUCUAUACACUUCUAUGAAAUCCAAUUGAUUUACUGUUUAAUUCACCUAUAAGUUUUCUCUGCUGGUUUUUUAAUUUGCGAGAUCUAUCUCAAUGUGAGAUGGGGUAUUGAGCCUCCACCAUUAUUAUGCCAGGGCCUAGGUGGCCUUUUAUGCGUUUUAGUGUUUGCUGUGUCCUAUUUAUUAGUAUUCCCUUUCAUGAGUGUGUAGGGGACCCUAUACUUCUUUUAACUUGUUCAGGUUGCAAGUCUGUUUUAAGAGGUAUAAGAAUCACUGUGGAAGCUUUUCUGCAGCUUCCACUUGCUUGGUAUUUCCUCCUCCAACCUUCACUUCUCAGCUUGCUCUAAGUCCUUGGGGACCAAUUCCUUCUCUGCCUGGGUUCAACCUCGCUUCUUAGUGAACUGCUGAGUACACUGGGUACAUGCCCUUUCAGGCCAUCUUCUUCCAGUGCCUUGAGCCUUGAUGGUAGGACUAGUCAAUCCACCUGAGGAGCCAAACAGACAUGUCAAGCUCCUCCUAACCUCCUGGUUCCUCUUCCUUGUUCCUUCUACCUGAUAUGAAGGGAGGGUGGAGUAGUGUUUGCCAGGUAGGACUCUCUCUCUCUCUCUCUCUCUCUCUCUCUCUCUCUCUCNCUCUCUCUCUCUCUGUCUCCCUCUCUUUCUUUGUAGCUGUUACUUCUUUUCUUCCAAUCCAGACCCAAAACCUUUCCUCUAUAUCCCUUCUGACUUUUCUUAUUUUGACUCUCAUCUUUAUUGGCACACACUGAGGCAGCCUCUAGUCUAUGAUCUUAGAAUGAAGCCCUCUCUAAAUAUUAAGUUCAAAAUGUCAGGAAAUGAUUAACCCAUGUGGGGUAAUAAAAGCAUUUGCACAGAAAUGGGAAUUGCCUAGGUGCGGAGUAUCUUGAGUGUUGCUGACUACAGCUUGUUAGAGACAUUGAAAAGCUUGCAUUAAUAUCACUUUUGAAUGUACAAAGGUUUUGAUUGCUAUGCAUGUUUGGUCUGAUAGUUGAAGAAGAGUUUUCAUAAUACCCUGAUUCCUUUGCUUCCUGUCUACACUGUAGAACAUAUCUUCAUCCAUGAAGAUCUCCCUUGGUGCUUCUAGGGUAUGUUCAACAAGAAAGGCUUUGUCUGCCAGAAAAACUAGCUAUAUCUGAUAUAUCUGAUAAAAUAAUUAAAUAAAUAAAAAUUUUGGAACAUGCUGAAAUAGCUGGAAGAUCAUGAUAUACACUAGAGACUGCAGGAGGUUAUUAUAAUAACCUCUCUAAUAGUUUUAAGGAUUUGUUCUGUUCCCAUGCAUUUAAUAAGGAAGUAAUAUAAAAUGUUUGUCCCUAGCCUAGAGGACAGCCAGAUGGACAUUAGCCAAAUGUAAAUAGACUUGCUUCCUUCUUUAUAUUUGUGUUCAAAAGUUCAAAUGUGAUAAAGAAUAAUCAUUCUAUUUUAGUUGGCCAUUCGAGCAAAUGGCAGUUAGCUUCAUCUUUUCCUUAACCUGUCUUAGGACAAUGGUGCUAGACGUCUAGUUACCAUAAGGAAAGCAAUAGCAAACAGUUUUUAAAGUCUUCUUCCUUCAAUGGGAAUAAUUUAAAUACUUUAUAUUUCCAUAAUUAUUUAAUCCAAAUACUGUGUUGAUAUUCUCUAUUUAUAAUUGUCUCUUUCAUUUCCUCUUUGUUAUAGCUAAGGAUACAUAUUCUAUGUGACUUAUACGUUAGCAUCCCUUCGCAUCCCAGAAUACUACAAAGUAGAGCGUUUUGACUCAAGGGUCAUAAGAAGCCUUAUUUGGGCUUCGUUUUGGUGGGGAUGGGGAUUGAUUCCAGUGCAUUGCGCAUGCUAGACAGGCACUCUACUACCAAGCUUGCUACGUUUUGUCAUGAGACUAACUUGAACUUUCCUACAAAUAAUAUCCACUCUGCACUUAAUAUGCAGUUUAAUCAUUACAGCAACCCUGGGAAUCAACACACAAUUUUCAUUUCCUGAGAUUGUAAGACAGUUUCAGUAAAAAAAGCUCAGACCCAAGCAGCCCACCCUCACACUGCUCCCUCCAUAUGUGCUCCUGAAUUCAACCCUGGCUAGUGUAUAAUCUGGCGACUUAAUGAGCUAUGAUAAAGGAUGUUAAUAAAGUAAGAGCAAGUAUGUAUUUAGGCAUGGUAUGAUGGAAAAACAAACAAACAAAAAAAAAACGUAUAUCAGACUUAUGCAUAGCAUCAGUGUUCUAUUGCUGAGACACCAUAGCCAUGAGAUGCCAAACAUCAUCCAUCUGAGAAUCGGCCUCCAUCUUAAAAAAUAAAGAAAAGAAAAAAAAAAAA